GACUCUCCCUCCUCCCCCCAAACCGGCCCACACAGACCAACAUCAAACACUCCUUUGAUAUGGGACGGUCUUUACUUGUGUGUGUAUGUGAAGGGGGUGGGGGAAUAAGGCGUUUGCAUACCAUAAAAGUAAAAAGGAUAAAAGUCUCCUAAAUGUGUCUAACUUUGACUCAGAUGGAGUGUUGGCUGACAGAAAGAUGCAGGGUCAAUGUGUUUCCAGGUCAAGUGUGAAAGUGGCCGGCCGGCUGUAAAUGUAAAUGCUGCAUGUGGAUGUGAAGCUGCAGACAAAGAGCUGCUUUUGUUUCUGCCAUGAUGGAAAUGAAGGGCCUCUGUGCAGCUCCUGAAAUGGCGGCCUGCUGAGGGAAGCAGGCUGAGCAGGAGCACAGAAAGCAUGGAGUGGAACUGCAGCUGAGGCUGGAUCUGGAGUCAGUCCUGGUUUCAUGUGUGUCACUCAGAAAAAAAAUUCUUUAUCAUCCCGACAACCUCGUGUUUCCAGCUAAAUCUCAGUUGAGAUACUUUAUUUGUGCCAAUGAUGCAGAAAAAUCCUGCUAAACUUUAAAGUUUCAUUGGAUUUAGAGAUGAAAAUGAAAGUAUGUCAGCACUGGUGACUCACACCAGACUGAAUAAACAUCAGUAAGAGUUCAGUCAAACAGGAAGAUUGUUUUAGACGAUCAACAUGAUAAUCAGGAGCAUCAGGGUCAAUGUAAAAAAAUAUAUUUAUUCGGGGAAGAAAGGUGAAGGUAAUUUUUCCCAACUUCAUUCUUCCAAAAUUUGCAGUUCAUUAAAAACAGCAGUAGUACCAGCAGCACACUUUAACAUUGUUUAAUUUAUUCAUUUAAUCUAAUUACUAUUAAGUUAUAUAUAUUUGAGAGCCCAAACACCUAAGUGGAGUGGCAUAAUGUUUAUUCAAUCUGUAUAAAACAUGUUAGUAAGAUAUUGAGCUCAACUAUUUCCUAUUUAGACCCUAUGAAACUUACUAUAAAACUAUGCUAGCUGUUUGCAAAGUGUUUCAGCUAAGCUAAGCCAAACUGUUAAAAUGAAACUUAAAUAAAAAGAGCCAAAAACAAAUAAAUCUUUAAAUAUGAGCUAUGAUUUUAAAAUAUGCAGCUAUUAGGUUAGCUGAGCAUGAGCACAAAUAACCAGAGGAAACGGAUAGUAGUUACCUUCCAAAGCUAUGAAAUAAAUCCUAAUUAACAUAA